CCAAAAUGACCCUACAUUUCCCACCUUUGCCCUUCGCGCUCUAAUAGGAGAUUCCGCCUUCGCUUCCGUACCCUUACCUCCUUCCCCUCCGCUGCGCCACCGGAGCCCUCGCCGGAGCCAUAAUCGAAGUCCUUGCCGGAGGCUUUGCGUGAGACCUUGCCAUAGCCGUCGUUCGACAAGGGGGAGAAAGGAGAGAGCCAAACCACUAUAGUGGGGCUCGGGGUUUAGCCAAUCUAGCGAUGAGCAUCCUUCUUCGACACCGUCCGCUUCUCCCUUUGCGUCGAUGUCGAUCUGCUUCGCCACACCACCAUCCAUGACCUCCUCUCCGCACUCCACAUCGUCGCCGCAAACCGCCGCGUCAAGUUGCAUGUCACACCUCGAGGCCUGUUUGGUAAAAGCUUUUGUAAAAGAUACUAUUUUAGAUAUCAGAGUUGCGGGAAAACGUGCCAAAAUUUUUUUCUUCUUCUGCAGUCGGCGUAUCUGACAUGCUUCCCGGCGAACCUGUCUCUCAGCAUCAGACAUUCUUCACCCCAAUGACGAAGCGAAACGAACACAUGAGAGUCUUUUCGAAGGCGUUUGUUCGACUGAAAGAGAUAAUGGGAGUGACCCGUCCGAAGAAUUAGAAGAAGAAGAAGAAUCGAUCCGAAUAGACUGAGGAUUUACCUCGGUUGAAACAGGGUCAAUUGGGGAUGAUUGAGGAAGGUCCUUCUCUAUAGUUGAUGGAACAUCAGCUGAAGAUACAUCUUCGGUAGGUAUGGGAAUUGGAGAAUGAACCUUCUUCGCAACAGAUUUGUGCCACUUUGGUUGUGGUGGAAGAGUAGAUUGUUCGGUUUUCAUCAGUCGUUUCUCUGAACGGGGGACUGAUGAAGUAGUUGGAAUCAGCUGAAAGGGAAAUAUUUAGUUAAAUGCACUUCAUAAAAGAAAAGGUGUUAAAAUUGAAACUCACUGUAGAAGGACAAAGUGAAUCAUCAGGGUCUCGAUUAGAGUUAUCCCCUGAUUCUUCUUGUGGAGGGGGAUCGAGUGAGAUGUCCUUGUUCAAAAAAGGUACUGCAACAAAAUGAACAAAAUAAGCCGAAGAAGAAAACUAAGCAUGAAAACAGAUCAAUUAGUAAGCAGUAUACCUUCAGGAUGAAGAAGUUUACGAAAUGCUUGUGACGUCAUCGGAAUGAAGGUUCGCUCACAAAAAGCAUCCCAAGACGUUGUAAAAUGAAAGCCCACUACCCCUGUGUGAUUCGGCCUGAAGCUUACUAAUUCGAAGAAGCGUCGUAGACGGUUCCUCAUGGCCAAAAUCCGAUUAGCUUCGGCCGUGCUCCUAGUAGGAGGACGGCUAACAGUAGUAUUGGCCGUAAAAAAUAUGGCCGGUGCAGGAAUCUCCUGGACGAACCCAAUCUGUCGUGCCACAUUCUAGGGAAAAUAAACUUCAGUACUGGGUAUUAACUUAGAGCGUAUUUUCAGCCCAACGUGCAGAUCUUGGGUCGCACGUAAAGAGAACCAAACAUCUGAGUAUUCGCUGGCUUGAGAAGAGGCCAGUUGACCUUGGAUAGCUUCGUACCGGGCGAGAAACCAAGAUAGACCGGUGACUCGUUCUCCAAAUAGAGCCCAUGAGAUGAGACGAUGAUGACGCGAUUUGUAAAAAACUUUGAAAUAAUUGUUGUAUUCAUAUGGGUGGCCUGAGGAUAUAGGCACUAGACAGCCGAGAGUCAACCCAUAAGUGUCAAAAUGAGGAGCCGAAUCCAUAUCCAAAGGAGUUCGGCACAGAGAAGGAAAAUAAAUUUGCAAACACAUUUGCAGAAACCACAAAACGCCACAGCUAGAACCGAUUGCUAAACCCUCUCCGGAUGGCAGUGGCUUGAUUGAAUAAAAAAUUUCUCUAUAUACGAAAGCAAGAAAAUAUACACCUAAGGCUAAUUAUUCGCUGUUAGCCAAACCUACGGCGAUUGGAAUAAAAUCUCGAUUGAUCUUUUGUGACUGAGUACAGAAGAGGUUAUGAUACAACCAGUAAAGAAGGAAAGCUGUAUGUUCCUUCCUAGUAACUAGAGCAGGGGACUGACCUGCGAACCGACGGAUGAACUUAGUGUAAGCUAGAUCAGCUAUGUCGAGAUGGGCCUCAAAAUCAGUCACGCCGUAAGGAUUAUAGGCCAUCGAAAGAGUAGAGAUGGGCCUCAAAAUCAGUCACACCGUCAGGAUUAUAGGCCAUCGAAAGAGUAAUGCCAUGAGGGCGCAAACCAACGAUCGCUACUACAUCAAGGAGAGUAGGAGUAAAGGGUCAUGCUCUGAAAAGAAAGGUGUUGGAAACAGAAGACUAGAAUCAGAGAGCCGCAGCCAAAAGAAGGUUAUCGACUAUAGGAGGCAUUCUAGAUAACUGAAUGGCUUCAUAAAUCCCAACCUCGCGCCAAAGAUCGGCAUAUGACCCUUCGAUACGAUCUAACCAAGCAAGGUAUGCUUCUGAAACGCUCGGCGAAGUCCGAAGACUUUUUCCCGUUGAUGUCGAAGCAUACCGAGAAUGCAAGUGAAUGGCAUCAGCUAUUAAAGGAAGACCUUAACUUGAGAAAGGACAAUCCUCAGAGAUAGGAUCUUCUAUAAAUGAAGGACCCAAUAUAAAUUGAGAGGGGUUCGAUUCGACAUAUUGUCUAAGUAAAAUAUAAUCAAGGGACGAAAAUGAAGGAAGAGGAGAAAGCGGAGCCAUUGGAGAAGACAAUAACAAAAAAUUGAUUCUCAAGCGAAGAGGAAGAAGAGAGGAAGCGAAGGGAGAAGAGAGAAGAGAGAAAGAGUAGAGAAGAAGAAAAUAAAAGAGACAGAGAAAGAGAGCCGUCGGAUGGAUUCCAAAAACGGCUUUGAUGAUGAAAAGACAGCAGCAAUAAAUGAUCUAAUUAAUGCUGCAGAAGAGACAAAAAGAAGUGUGGGAGAUCAUGGCAGUCAAGGGUGAAAGGACGGCCUCGGGAAAGAAUAGUACAAGGCGAUUUGAAAUAAUGGUUUCGAGAAUCGCGCCUUUAAGGGGAAUUACGUCAGCUACCGAACCGUCUUUUUUGGAGAUGCCGAGAGGGCAAUUGUUGGUGCCAAUAGAGUAGUGCCACGUGGUGAACUGGUGCACAGCUCAGCCAGGGACUCCAAAGCUAGAAAAAAUGACAUAUGGUGCGCUGGGAGUAGAGGAUGAAUAGCAGCAAACCGCAGAUGAUUUUCAUGCGGUUAAGAUCGGCUUGUAGUGGCCCAAAAAAUAAGGAGAAGUGGCCGAUCAUGUAGAUAACUGAAUAACAACAGACGGAAUAUAAAUAAACAAAUGACGCUUGGAAGAGGAGUCUUUUCCCUACGAAUAGAAGACCACUUUUCAAUUUUUAUGCAUUUUCCUUGCAUCUCUAGGAGUAGUCUACUUAUAAUCUUUUCUUUCCGUAUUUACCGUCUUUUUUAUGAGUAGUCUUUAAGUUAGAUUUCCAGAGUCUGUAUGCCGCACGGGCACACUCUGUUUUGUACGAGUGUCCAAACUUAGCUUUAAUAUAUAAGGCACUCGGCUCUUUAGCCGAUCCAAAAAUAUUAUGCAUUCCGUA